UACAAAUGGCUUCCCUGGUCUGUGCCUU
rnacentral:piRNA from 1 species